rnacentral:rRNA from 1 species
GAUGAACGCUGGCGGUCUGCUUAACACAUGCAAGUCGAACGGGCUCUUCGGAGCUAGUGGCGGACGGGUGAGUAACGCGUGAGAAUCUGCCUUCAGGAGGGGGAUAACGACUGGAAACGGUCGCUAAUACCCCAUAUGCCUCCGGGUGAAAAGUAAUUCGCCUGAAGAUGAGCUCGCGUCAGAUUAGCUAGUUGGUGGGGUAAGAGCCUACCAAGGCGACGAUCUGUAGCUGGUCUGAGAGGAUGAUCAGCCACACUGGGACUGAGACACGGCCCAGACUCCUACGGGAGGGCAGCAAGUGGGGAAUUUUCCGCAAUGGGCGCAAGCUUGACGGAGCAAGACCGCGUGGGGGAUGACCGGACUAAUGGUUGUAAACCCCUUUACUCUGGGAAGAAAGACUGACGGUACCAGAGGAAUC